CUUAAGUCAUACAAGUUUGAGAUAAGAAAAAGAUUUCUCUGUGUCGAUUUAAAAUAACAUGCUGUGAUCAUGAAUCCUGUCUGUGAUCCUGGUGGAAUUGACAAGUGCCUAGGUUAAACACAUUUCUGGGUGUGUCCACGAGUGUGCUUCCUAGAUGACUGAGAAGGGUGGACCUGCCCUGAAAGUGGCCAGCAGUAUCCCACAGGCUGAGAGCCAAGAAGUAAAAGAGGAAAUGGACAUUCCUUCUUUCUGCUUCCUGGGCUCUAUGCAGGCAGUGGCUCUGCUCAGUCAACACCCUCAUCACAGACCUCUAAAUCUAUGGGCCCAGACAAGGAAUUCACCCUUUGACGUGCUUUUUCUCAAGUCUUUGUCACAGCAAACUUGUCUGGCUAGCACAAUGUUGUCUUGUCUGGAUUACUGAAGACAUUUCUGGGACUGCUCCUGAAGACCUUGAUCAGAGCGAGAGACUGGCAUGGCAUAUCUAAUACUCCACUGAUUUCUUCCCAUCACUACAUGGUCAGGUGUGAUUCUGAAUGCCGCCCUUCGUUCCCAUUCUUACUGUGUUCUUUCCAUAACUGCGAGAUGAAAACAGCCACACUGCAAGGCUGAGAGGGGAGGCCAUGGUCCUUCAUCACUUUACACCCCGCCAUCGGGCAGCUGUGCAAAGUACAGGACACACCGGGCAGCCACAGGAACGGUGCACCGGCACUUGAGCAGAUUCUCUGCUGCUGUAACAGCAUCACAGACUAGGUAACGUACGAUGAAAGCUUAUCUCAAACAGUUCCGGAACAGGGCGAGUUCAGUACCGAGGGGCCACAUCAGGUGAGGGCCUCCGGACCAUCUUAACAUGGCAGAAGUUCAGGUGAGCACACAAGACAGACGGUAAAACUUCCCUUCUAUCAGGAGCCUGCUGUCAUGGUAACCAACCCAUUCCUGGCCCACUUUCUUCACAAGGGUAGUAUGCUGACCUAGUCCUAAAGGUUCUAUAUGUCAUUAUGUUAGUAACAAGUAAAUUGCAACAUAAUUUCGGCAAGGAUGUUGAAACCACAACAAAUAGAAAAUGUUAAUUCCUCAAAAAAAAAAAAAAAGAUGAGAGAGUUUACAAAAAAGUCAUUACAUAAUCCAGGAUUUUGAGACACUAUUGUUAUACAGAUGACUAUUCUAAUAGAAUCUAUGAGAUUUGAAAUCCAUAAUGUGGUAUACAUUAGGGCUACAACAAGCUUAUAAACAUUGUUUCUGUUUUUGAUCAACCUAAUUUUGGGAUUAGGAAAUUUGACAGUAUAACAGUCUGUCUUAAAUGUGUGUGUGUGUUUUUUUUUUUAACAGUUUGUGUUACAUAGAGUUACAUGACCAACUAUAGUGAAUGAAAUCUAUUUCUGUGUUUUAACUUUCUGUUGUCUAUAGCUGCUACCUUAACUUCAUUUUUCUUUUCCUUUUUUAUUAAGAAACAUGCUAAAACAUAUAAAAACAGACAAGAAUGGUAUAGUGAGUUCACAGCUCAGCUUAAUGAUCAAAACUUGCAGUGAAUUUACUUCAUUAUUACUCCCAUAUAAUCUUGUCACUCUUUUAUUUCUUUGAUGCAAAUUCUGGAAACUGUAGCAUUUAA